rnacentral:rRNA from 1 species
AGAGUUUGAUCCUGGCUCAGAGUGAACGCUAGCGGUGCGUUUAAUACAUGCAAGUCGAGCGAGAAACUUUCUUCGGAAAGCAGACAGCGGCGGACGAGUGAGUAACACGUAAGUAGCUGCCUCGUACUCAGGGAUAGCCCUCCGAAAGGAGGAUUAAUACCGGAUGGUCCCUUUUUGGGUAAAGAUUUAUCGGUACGAGAGGCGCUUGCGGACUAUCAGUUUGUUGGUGAGGUAAUAGCUCACCAAGACUAUGACGGUUAUCUGGUGUGAGAGCAUGACCAGACACGAUGGGACUGAGACACGGCCCAUACUCCUACGGGAGGCAGCAGUAAAGAAUCUUCCGCAAUGGGCGAAAGCCUGACGGAGCGACACCGCGUGGUGGAUGACACUCUUCGGAGCGUAAACACCUUUUCUAUCGGAAGAAGAUCUGACGGUACGAUAGGAAUAAGGACCGGCUAAUUAUGUGCCAGCAGCCGCGGUAAUACAUAAGGUCCAAGCGUUACUCGGAAUUAUUGGGCGUAAAGCGUCCGCAGGUGGCUGUAUAAGUCAGUUAUUAAAUACCGGAGCUCAACUUCGGUGCUGUAAUUGAAACUAUACAACUAGAGAUUGGGAGAGGUGUGCGGAAUUGUGCAAGUAGGGGUAAAAUCCGUAGAUAUGCAUAGGAAUACCAAAAGCGAAGGCAGCACACUGGCCCAUAUCUGACACUCAGGGACGAAAGCGUGGGGAGCAAAACGGAUUAGA